rnacentral:lncRNA from 1 species
CAAGAAUUGUUCAAGAAAUUAAUAACUUAAAAAUACAUAUUCUCAAGAAUUGAUAACUAGAGACAUAUGUAAUUAAUUUUUAAAUUACUUUUGAUCGAUGGAUCAUUAUGGAGAUGGUGAUCGAUCCGAUUAAAUUAGUACGUGGAUCAUUUCUUUCAGGAUAGACGAGUUUUUAGUCUACAAUAUAGGGAUACUAAGCGAG